rnacentral:lncRNA from 1 species
AUGCAGGACGUGGGCCCCUGCGGCUGCCAGCUCAAGAGGAAGGGCAGGAGCCCGUCUGCCGUCUGCUCACACGGGGGGCACUCUGGCCUCCACACACCAGCCUGCAGUCACUGGUCUCAGGCAGUCCUUAUACAGCUCCUGGGGCCUCCCAUUCUCGCUGGUCCUGAGCCACUCCUCUGGCCCACAGGACUGGGGAGAAGACAGCAGGAGAACCACACACGUCCUUCUGCAACAAGGGGCAGAAAACGGUACAAACAUCCCCAUCCUCUGGGAGCUAAGGGUCCAGGAUCUCCCAGGCUGGCUGUGGCCCCAGCCAUUGCACCUACUCUCCCACCCUGGGAUUCCUUCCUGCUAUUGCUGAAGACCCAAGAUCACACCCUUAGGGCUUCCCAGGUGGCUCAGUGGUAAAGAAUCUGCCUGCCAAUGCA